ensembl:miRNA
CGGGGUCGGCGGCGACGUGCUCAGCCUGGCACCCAAGUUCUGCCGCUCCGACGCCCGGC